GGCCUAAUGGCCCAAUGGCAAGGCGCUUGACUACGAAUAACUAGGUAUUAAACCUGGAAGCCGCAAUCAAGAGAUUCCAGGUUCGACCCCUGGUUAGGUCA